rnacentral:misc_RNA from 1 species
CGUAACAAGGUUUCCGUAGGUGAACCUGCGGAAGGAUCAUUACCGAGUGAGGGCCCUCUGGGUCCAACCUCCCACCCGUGUUUAUUUUACCUUGUUGCUUCGGCGGGCCCGCCUUAACUGGCCGCCGGGGGGCUUACGCCCCCGGGCCCGCGCCCGCCGAAGACACCCUCGAACUCUGUCUGAAGAUUGAAGUCUGAGUGAAAAUAUAAAUUAUUUAAAACUUUCAACAACGGAUCUCUUGGUUCCGGCAUCGAUGAAGAACGCAGCGAAAUGCGAUACGUAAUGUGAAUUGCAAAUUCAGUGAAUCAUCGAGUCUUUGAACGCACAUUGCGCCCCCUGGUAUUCCGGGGGGCAUGCCUGUCCGAGCGUCAUUGCUGCCCUCAAGCCCGGCUUGUGUGUUGGGCCCCGUCCCCCGAUCUCCGGGGGACGGGCCCGAAAGGCAGCGGCGGCACCGCGUCCGGUCCUCGAGCGUAUGGGGCUUUGUCACCCGCUCUGUAGGCCCGGCCGGCGCUUGCCGAUCAACCCAAAUUUUUAUCCAGGUUGACCUCGGAUCAGGUAGGGAUACCCGCUGAACUUAAGCAUAUCA